GCACUGGCAAAAUCCAGUGCCGGGAUUGAGACCCCGUUUUU
rnacentral:sRNA from 1 species